rnacentral:rRNA from 1 species
GACGAACGCUGGCGGCGUGCUUAACACAUGCAAGUCGAACGGAAAGGCCCUGCUUUUGUGGGGUGCUCGAGUGGCGAACGGGUGAGUAACACGUGAGUAACCUGCCCUUGACUUUGGGAUAACUUCAGGAAACUGGGGCUAAUACCGGAUAGGAGCUCCUGCUGCAUGGUGGGGGUUGGAAAGUUUCGGCGGUUGGGGAUGGACUCGCGGCGUAUCAGCUUGUUGGUGGGGUAGUGGCUUACCAAGGCCUUGACGGGUAGCCGGCCUGAGAGGGUGACCGGCCACAUUGCGCCUGAGAUACGGCCCAGACUCCUACGGGAGGCAGCAGUGGGGAAUAUUGCACAAGGGGCGGAAGCCUGAUGCAGCAACGCCGCGUGCGGGAUGACGGCCUUCGGGUUGUAAACCGCUUUCGCCUGUGACGAAGCGUGAGUGACGGUAAUGGGUAAAGAAGCACCGGCUAACUACGUG